rnacentral:lncRNA from 1 species
UAAUAAUAAUAAUAAAACGUUUGUGUUUGUUUGUCUUAGGUCGAUGAAGCAACCGACCAUACCAAAAGAGCCAAAGUUCCAUAUUCCUCAACAUAAGAAGAUCAAGUGUGCGGGAAUGACUUGUGUACACAAUUGCAAUGAAGCUUGAAGUGAGGGGCCAAUCAUAGAAUUGUCGAAUUUGAGUUUUUUUAUUUUCUUUCACCAUUUGUAUUUGAAUCAAUAAGUUUGUAUAAAAUUUGGGAAGGACAGAUCAUAUUGUGUUGCUGGCGCAAUGGAGGGCGAUAUCAAUGAAUUUUUUUGGUAG